AAGCUUGACUAAAGAAAACUUCUUCAGCCAAGUACAAUGACACAUGCCUGUAAUCCUAGCUACUUUGAAGGUUGAAGCAAGAGGAUCUCAAGCUCAAAGCCAGGCUAGGCAAUUUACUGAGAACCUGUCUCAGAAUAAAAAGAGCUGGGAUUGCAGUUCAGUGACAGAGUCUCCCUGAUGCUCCGCAGCCACUUCCAGAGUGCCAGGACUACGGGCAUAUACGACAAAUCCAGCUAAGAACAACUGUUUGAGCUAAGUACAAUAUAAUGGAUAUAAAAACUGAUUUUGGAGGGUGAGAAAGAAGCAACAGAGGGACAAAAUGACCUUAUCAAGUCAUUCUCCCAGGGAACCUACAGGUGUUUGUGCUGAUCAUGGUAGAAAGGAGCUCUGCGAAUCUUGAGAUUAUUUCAUUGAAACCUAAGAGAUAUAGAUCCAAAAAAUGAGAGAAGUGGCCCAGAUGGAUGUCCUAUUUUUAAUGUUUUGAGGAUCUUCCCUAUUCUUUAUCAUACCAACUGCAUCGUUAUAUAUUCCCACCAACAAUGAAGAAGGGCUCCACAAGUUAAGUUGUUUCUUAAGAUCUGUGACUUGUGCCUUGUAACUAGGAUCACAUUUGACCACUUUUAGGAUGAACUUUGAGCUUGGUUUUGUUUCCUCCUCCACGUGGGAGUAGACCCUGCUGUCCCACCAGGGCAGAUGUGGCAGAAUGCCCUGGGAGGAUCAGAGACAUGGGAUCUUGUGCUAGCAGCUGGUAGGCCCCCUGGAGCUGAGUUGUGCUUUAACUUACCUAGAAAUAGCCCCAUGCCAUCUGGGGGCCCAAGCAGUUACAUCAAUGUUAUUCUGCCAAACAGGGAUGGGAUCUCUUCUGUGUACUCUGCCCAAAGAAGCAGAUACAAGAGUCACAUUCUUUCCCACAUGUUAUUAUCAAUAAUGUUAUCAGCUGCACCCAGAUUUGCCCAGCUGGGUCAUCUUCCAUUCUCUUGUAAUCUUACAAACAUAUUAACAAACUGAAAUAAGGCCUGACAUUGCAAUAAGGCUAUUUACAUCUUGGUCCAUGAGAUUUUACUAAUAUUAUCUAACUAGAGUUUCUUUACAUGCUUUAUUAAUCUAUGGAAAUCUAUGUCCAAGAAAGAUAUUCUUAAAAUCUCCCCUAUCCAUUUCCAGGAAGCAAACUGACUACCUGACUUAUGCAGAAUUUUGGCCCCUAUGAUGAAACCUUCCUAUCCCCUUGGGGUUUUGUUUAUACCUAUGUCACAUGACGUGGCAAAAGUAAAUGAAGAAUGAAGAUAGAAACAUAAUUUCUAGUAAACUAACCUUAAAAUUGGAAUCUUGUCCUGAAUUAUCUGUGUGGUCCUGAUAUAAUCCCAUGGCCCUUUGGAAGAGGAAGACAGAAGAGUCAGUCAUAGAGAUGCAAGAAUGAAAGAACAGGAAGAGAAAUUGGAGAUGAGAAAGAAGCUUGAGCACUGUUGCUGCCUUUGAAAAUGGGGGAAAGGGUCCAUAAGUCAUCGACUGUAGCUGCCUAUAGUCCUGGGAAUGGGCUUCAGCAGACAGCCAGAAUGGAUGUGAGACCUUGAUCCUAUAACAGAACAGGACUGAAUCUCAACAACAAUUUAAGUGAGCAAAGAAACACAUUGCUUGUCCUAGAUCCUUGAAAUCUAGGAUUCCCUUUCAAUUCCUUGAUUUUGCCAUAG